AAGUGGACCUGAAGAGUUUCAGGUAGAACUUCUAUCUGUCGGGUCUAAUUCUAGCGACGGCUGUUGACCCUCCUCCCCUGCCGACAAGAUGUUAUGGACUUAUCGCAUGUUUAAUUAAAACAUUGCAUAAAAUGAUUGUGUUAUAAAUUUGGAACAUUCAUAUACCACACUUGCAUGCAUUUCUAUUAAAAUUUGUCUUGA